UCUCGGCUUCCAAUUUUAAGGGAAAAAAAAUUAAAAAUUCGAGAUCUGUUUUCGAGAUUGACCGAACUCCAUCUCCAUCUCCAUCUCCAUCUCUAUCUCCAUCUCUUGAGAGGCACUGUCCAGAUUCGAGAGGGAUUUGAUGUUCUGCUUUGAUUCUCAUAGAGGGAUUUCGCCGCCCGGAUUGAAAGAGGGAUUUCUCCAACCGUCAGGACAGAUACCAAGAGGUUAAUGUUCAAGUUGUGCUCCGAUGCAGGU
rnacentral:misc_RNA from 1 species